AUUGAACGCUGGCGGCAUGCCUUACACAUGCAAGUCGAACGGUAACGGGCCUUCGGGUGCCGACGGGUGGCGAACGGGUGAGUAAUACAUCGGAACGUGCCCGAUCGUGGGGGAUAACGAGGCGAAAGCUUUGCUAAUACCGCAUACGAUCUACGGAUGAAAGCCGGGGACCGCAAGGCCUUGCGCGGACGGAGCGGCCGAUGGCAGAUUAGGUAGUUGGUGGGAUAAAAGCUUACCAAGCCGACGAUCUGUAGCUGGUCUGAGAGGAUGAUCAGCCACACUGGGACUGAGACACGGCCCAGACUCCUACGGGAGGCAGCAGUGGGGAAUUUUGGACAAUGGGCGCAAGCCUGAUCCAGCCAUGCCGCGUGCAGGAUGAAGGCCUUCGGGUUGUAAACUGCUUUUGUACGGAACGAAAAGCCUUCUUUUAAUACAGGAGGGUCAUGACGGUACCGUAAGAAUAAGCACCGGCUAACUACGUG
rnacentral:rRNA from 1 species